rnacentral:rRNA from 1 species
CAAUAGCGUAUAUUUAAGUUGUUGCAGUUAAAAAGCUCGUAGUUGGAUUUCGGUUGAGAGCGGCCGGUCCGCCGUUUGGUGUGCACUGGUUGGUUUUAACUUCCUGUAGAGGACGUGCUCUGGGUUUAACGACCUGGACUCGGAGUCUACGUGGUUACUUUGAAAAAAUUAGAGUGUUCAAAGCGGGCUUACGCUUGAAUAUUUCAGCAUGGAAUAACACUAUAGGACUCCUGUCCUAUUUCGUUGGUCUCGGGACGGGAGUAAUGAUUAAGAGGAACAGUUGGGGGCAUUCGUAUUUCAUUGUCAGAGGUGAAAUUCUUGGAUUUAUGAAAGACGAACUUCUGCGAAAGCAUUUGCCAAGGAUGUUUNCAUUAA